rnacentral:rRNA from 1 species
UGGGGAAUAUUGCACAAUGGGCGCAAGCCUGAUGCAGCAACGCCGCGUGAACGAUGAAGGUCUUCGGAUCGUAAAGUUCUGUUGCAGGGGAAGAUAAUGACGGUACCCUGUGAGGAAGCCCCGGCUAACUACGUGCCAGCAGCCGCGGUAAGACGUAGGGGGCUAGCGUUAUUCGGAUGUACUGGGCGUAAAGGGUGCGUAGGUGGUCUUUCAAGUCGGUGGUUAAAGGCUACGGCUCAAACGUAGUUAGCCUCUGAAACUUGAAGACUUGAGUGCAGGAGAGGAAGGUGGAAUUCCCAGUGUAGCGGUGAGAUGCGUAGAGAUUGGGAGGAAAACCAGUAGCGAAUGCGGCUUUCUGGGCUGCAACUGACACUGAGGCACGAAAGCGUGGGUAGCAAACAGG